rnacentral:rRNA from 1 species
UACAGAGGGUGCGAACGUUGCUCGGAAUUACUGGGCGUAAAGCGCGUGUAGGCGGACUCGCAAGUCAGAUGUGAAAUCCCCGGGCUCAACUCGGGAACUGCAUCUGAAACUGCGAGCCUUGAGUACCGGAGAGGGUGGCGGAAUUCCUGGUGUAGAGGUGAAAUUCGUAGAUAUCAGGAGGAACACCGGUGGCGAAGGCGGCCACCUGGACGGUAACUGACGCUGAGACGCGAAAGCGUGGGGAGCAAACAGG